rnacentral:lncRNA from 1 species
UUGAGGUUCAUAUGAUGCUCAAGAUCCCUCCUGGAAGGUCAAUGACCGUGAGAGCGCAGCUGGGUUCCCCUGCAAGAAUGGCAAGCCAUUGAUGACUGAGUGAGUUGCCGUCCUUGCCUCUUCUUUCUGCUCAAAAACCCUUGCAAGCUUGCACCCUUUGCCAUCUUUGCCUGCCUUGUCGCCAUUGAUCCCGAUUAGCGACAAGAUAGAACUCCUAGCCACCUCAUCCACGUCAUCGAUUCGGAUCGUCUUUGGCACCCACACCUUGCCAUUUCCUUUGGUAUCUCCUUCCUCGUUGCAGUCUCUAGGGCGCUUUCCUGGUGUGAAGCAAUUGGACUUCGUGGAUGCUGGUGAAGCAGUGCUAAGGGUCGAACCUGUCUCGGACGGGGACUGAGGCGGCCAUGGGGCAUUCCAAGCUCCUGGAACCAUGCAGCCCCAGUAGGCAGCAGGUGCUGGGUAGAACGGAAUUGCUAUGCUGCCUGGGGUGUAACAGGCAGGUGGUGGUGCACAGCUAAAUGGCCACAUGGCCACCCCGUUCAUGCAUGGAUGCUGAACAAGUUUUGCAGAUUUCUCUGCUGUAACAUUCUCCUUUUGGUUUGAGUCUUCUGCCUUCGCAGGUCCUUCAGUGCAAGAGCCAACUGAACGUUCAUCGCCGUUCUUGAUCCCCGCUAUUGGGAUGAGCUUCUCCUUCAGGUGCUUCAUCUGCUCUGUGAGGUCUAAGCUGGACAUGUCUGAGCCGAAGCUGAGCACCGUGCCAUUCGUCUUGGCUGCAG